CUCUUAUCCAGAGUGGUCGAGGGACUGGCCCGAUGACGCCCGGCAACCGGCAGGAAACUGCGGAGGUGCUAAUUCCAGCAGGAAGAAAUUCCUGGCAGAUGAGAG
rnacentral:ncRNA from 2 species